UACAGAGGGUGCAAGCGUUAAUCGGAAUUACUGGGCGUAAAGCGUGCGUAGACGGUUAUGUAAGUCAGGUGUGAAAGCCCCGGGCUCAACCUGGGAAUUGCAUUUGAGACUGCAUAGCUAGGGUGCGGAAGAGGGAAGCGGAAUUUCCGGUGUAGCGGUGAAAUGCGUAGAUAUCGGAAGGAACACCAGUGGCGAAGGCGAGUCUCUGGGAUGAUGCUGACGCUGAGGCGCGAAAGCCAGGGGAGCAAACGGG
rnacentral:rRNA from 1 species